rnacentral:rRNA from 1 species
UAGGGAAUAUUGCACAAUGGGGGAAACCCUGAUGCAGCGACGCCGCGUGAGUGAUGAAGGCCUUCGGGUCGUAAAGCUCUGUCGUAUGGGACUAACAAAAUGAAGGUACCAUGCAAGAAAGGAUCGGCUAACUUCGUGCCAGCAGCCGCGGUAAGACGAGGGAUCCUAGCGUUGUUCGGAAUUAUUGGGCGUAAAGCGGGUGUAGGCGGACUUAUAAGUCAGGUGUGAAAUCCCAGGGCUCAACCCUGGAAGUGCACUUGAUACUGCAAGUCUUGAGUGUGGUAGAGGCUAUUAGAAUUCCUGGUGUAGUGGUGAAAUACGUAGAUAUCAGGAGGAAUACCGGAGGCGAAGGCGGAUAGCUGGGCCAACACUGACGCUGAGACCCGAAAGCGUAGGGGAUCAAACAGGAUUAGAUACCCCCGUAGUCCCUGAGCGGGCUGGCAAGGCGCAU